rnacentral:rRNA from 1 species
GGGCCCGCACAAGCGGUGGAGUAUGUGGUUUAAUUCGAUGCAACGCGAAGAACCUUACCAGGGUUUGACAUCCUGCGAAUCUCUUGGAAACAGGAGAGUGCCUUCGGGAACGCAGUGACAGGUGGUGCAUGGCUGUCGUCAGCUCGUGUCGUGAAAUGUUGGGUUAAGUCCCGCAACGAGCGCAACCCUUAUCCUUGUUUGCCAGCGAGUAAUGUCGGGAACUCCAGGGAGACUGCCGGUGAUAAACCGGAGGAAGGUGGGGACGACGUCAAGUCAUCAUGGCCCUUACGAGUAGGGCUACACACGUGCUACAAUGGCGCAUACAGAGGGCAGCCAACUUGCGAGAGUGAGCGAAUCCCCAAAAAGUGCGUCGU